rnacentral:lncRNA from 1 species
CUCUGUGGCUAGGUGAACAACGGACUCGAUACACACUGGCCAGGUCCUGCGUCACAUGACCGCUGGUACUGGAAUGCAAGGUAAGCUAGAUCCCCAAAGGAAAAUUACAGAGCUACCCUCAGAAGAGUGGGAGACCCACCCCCGAGGGCGGACCACCGGGUGCUCGAGUGCUCUUGGAGGGUCCAGGCCUUGGGAUGGAGAAGACAGCAAGUCGGGGGGCCACGUCUUCAGGGAAUGGGGAGAGGUGAGCCCCGAGGCUGGGAGCAGACUGGGAAGGGCUGGCGACAUGAACUGCAUAGGGCAGAUUUAAGGAAGAAAUAUGGAAGGACCAUAAAGUCCUAAGGACAACCUGAGGUGCACUUUGGAGCUCAUGAUAUGUCUUCAGAGGAUAGAUGGUGUUUUCAGGUUUCCGCCACUGUGACAAAAUACUUGAGAAAAUCAGCUUUAAAGAGAGAAAAGGUUCAUUUUGGCCAGCAGUUUCAGUUCAUGGUGUCUUGGCCCCGUGGAAAGGCAGAACAUCAUGGUGGGAUGAAGCUGCUCACCUCAUGGCACUGUGGAAGCAGAGAGGGAGGGAGGAAGAGGCUGGAGCCCAAAGACCCCCUUCAAAGAUACGCCCCCAGUGACCUAACUUCCUCCCACGGGUUCCACGUCCAGAAGUCCCCACCACCUCUCCUAGCACCAUGAGCUGGGGGCCGAGCCUUCACCACAUGAGUCUUGGGGGGACAGUUAAGGUCCAAAGUGCAGCCGAUGGUCUGCAGGAUGUGGGGUGGGGGGCCACAGAGACCUUCUGGACCCUCUUGGAACCUCAAAGAAAUCAUCAGGGAAACAGAGUCCCAGGCCUGACCCCCCAAAUCCAGACUCGGACAACUGGGGGUUGAAAGUGGCAUUAGGCACUAGACCAAGCCAGACUCCAGGGUUUGUGGCUCGAGGGUCCCCUCCCAGGGUCACACUUGGCUGGUCCGUAGCACCACCCCUGGAAUCCUGGGUAGGUCUCCUGCCUGCUAGCAGCUGGUGGCACAUCGGCUGGCCCCACAGGUGGCAAGGGACAGGACCUGGUCUGGCACAGUCCCCCCAGGUCAGAACUGUAAGUAAACGCGGCUCUUCCUGGGAGGGUGGGGGGAGACCUUCUCAAACCUGGGCCUUUUGGGGUGAAGUCCUU